rnacentral:rRNA from 1 species
GUGAACGCUGGCGGCAGGCCUAAUACAUGCAAGUCGAACGGCAGCACAGUGGAGCUUGCUCCAUGGGUGGCGAGUGGCGGACGGGUGAGGAAUACAUGGGAAUCUGCCCAGUCGUGGGGGAUAACGUAGGGAAACUUACGCUAAUACCGCAUGCGCCCUUCGGGGGAAAGCCGGGGACCUUCGGGCCUGGCGCGAUUGGAUGAGCCCAUGUUCGAUUAGCUAGUUGGCGGGGUAAAGGCCCACCAAGGCGACGAUCGAUAGCUGGUCUGAGAGGAUGAUCAGCCACACUGGGACUGAGACACGGCCCAGACUCCUACGGGAGGCAGCAGUAGGGAAUAUUGGACAAUGGGCGCAAGCCUGAUCCAGCCAUGCCGCGUGAGUGAAGAAGGCCCUCGGGUUGUAAAGCUCUUUUGUCCGGGAAGAAAAGCAUCGGGCUAAUACCUCGGUGUUCUGACGGUACCGGAAGAAUAAGCACCGGCUAACUUCGUG